GAUGAACGCUAGCGGCAGGCCUAACACAUGCAAGUCGAGGGAGAGGUUACCUUCGGGUAACCAAAACCGGCGCACGGGUGCGUAACGCGUAUACAAUCUGCCUUUCACAUAGGGAUAGCCCGAAGAAAUUUGGAUUAAUACCUAAUGGUAUAUAAGAGCGGCAUCGUUUUUAUAUUAAAGCUACGGUGGUGAAAGAUGAGUAUGCGUUCUAUUAGCUAGUUGGAGAGGUAACGGCUCCCCAAGGCGACGAUAGAUAGGGGUUCUGAGAGGGAUGUCCCCCACACUGGUACUGAGAUACGGACCAGACUCCUACGGGAGGCAGCAGUGAGGAAUAUUGGACAAUGGUCGGAAGACUGAUCCAGCCAUGCCGCGUGUAGGAUGAAGGUCCUAUGGAUUGUAAACUGCUUUUGUAAGGGAAGAAUAAGGAGUACGUGUACUUUGAUGACGGUACCUUACGAAUAAGCAUCGGCCAACUCCGUG
rnacentral:rRNA from 1 species